CCUGAGGAGAAUUCACUGAUUCACUGAUGCGGCCAGUAAGUCAUCUGGGCCAAAGGUGGGUGGGGAGAUGAUAGGGGUGCAAGUGUCACCUUCAAUCACAGCAUAACUGCCCUUGCUUUCUUACCUCUCAUUUAGAUACUUCAGUGCUUGCUCAGGUCCCCUGUACCCUCCUUCAUUCUUCCUUCCCAGCCAUACUACUUAUGGGGAGACUUUCUCUUUAUAAAAUGACUGUUAGUCUUGUCAAAUUAAUCCCAAAGUAGUACCAUCAAUUUCCCCCUAAAAUACCAACAAGACUCCUGCUUGAAACUACUUGUCCAUUAGGGACAGAGAAGAGUUCAUGAGAAUCAGCAUUUUCUGAGGACUCUAGCUGUCUUCCGAGAGAGAGUUCUCCUGCUGGUGCCUCCUCUGUAAUAAAGCAAAGGCUCCUGGAACCACAUUAUCAUUCUCUUCACUCAAGAGAUGAGGAUGCUGAAAUUCAGAGAGGGGAAGUGAUUUGCCUCAGCUUGUGCUCCUCUCCUCCCAGUGCCGCACUUCUAAUCUCUCUGCAGAAAGAAACAUUUCAACAGAGAACCCAGUGGAAAUUAUGACAUGUUAUCUUCUCAGAGUCCUGAACUCCCAUCCCUACCUCAGAAGAGACUCCACUGUUCACAGAAGCUAAAGGCAGUUCCUUCCCAGUGGCAACUAUGUUUGGAUGUUGGAUCUACACUUUUCUCAAGCACUGUGAUCUUCAAAUAUUAACUGCAAGUGGAACAACCUAAUACAUUUCCCCAGCACUGGAGUUUGAAGUCUGACAACAUUUUUCAUUCUCAAAUGAAGCUGACUUCAAGAGAGAACAGCAGACCAAGCAACAAUGCUGGCCUCCUCUGUCUUGCAGAGCACUCUUAUAACGAAAGCGCUUGUGGAAUUUGGCUCCAUUUCCUACAGCCAUGGGAUAAGGGUUGCAUGUAAACAAUAAUAUCCUGUGCUGUUUGGGCCUCAUUUAACUGUCUUUAUUGCUUUAGAAGGAACUGCCAAGUGGUGCUGUUUCUCAUAGUUCAUGCUUUACGUACCAGUGGUACUAUAGGGUUGGCUUCAAAGAUGGCACUCCACACCACGAAGCUUGUGGCUGUUGGCACACUUGGUUGUCACCGGGCUUCAUGUUGACACAUUCCUUCAAAUCACACCAAAGGUGCACUUUCCAUGAAGAAUGAAUCUGGUACACUGAGGGUGGGCCUGUUACUGCAGAAGGCCUUUGCAGUUACCAUUUGGGUGUUUUCCUAGAAAGCUAUAGCAGCUCUGCACCUAGAAUGACUGUGUUUGCUGAGUUUACAAACAGAAAGGUGAUUUUUGCAAAGUAAGCUGUUACCUUAUUGACAGAGCACUAAGCUGGAGUCAGGAGAUCUGUGCUGUACUCCCCAGCUGACUAGCUCUUUAGCUCUAGGAGAAACAUCCUUGAUUUCUUUGGCUUGUUUUCGAACCUUGAAAUGAUGAGAUUAUACUAGAUAAUCUCUAAAUUCCUUUCUGGCCUAAAUUUGAUCAGGCAAAUUAAAACAGUAAACAACAAACAGUGAGUCAAGAAACAGAAGUUCCCAAUCCAAGCUCUGCUGCUCAGUAAUUGUGACUUGAGACAAGUCAUGUAACCAUUCAGCCUCAGGUCUCCAUCGCUGGGGAGACCAAAGUUCUCUCUACCUGCCCCACCUGGUGGUUGCACCUGUUGAAUAGGGAAUCGUCUUUUUCACCCAACACUUACUGAACAAUU
ensembl:lncRNA